GACGAACGCUGGCGGCGUGCUUAACACAUGCAAGUCGAACGGAAAGGCCCUGCUUGCCGGGUGCUCGAGUGGCGAACGGGUGAGUAACACGUGGGUGAUCUGCCCCUUACUUUGGGAUAAGCCUGGGAAACUGGGUCUAAUACUGGAUAGGACCAUGCUGUAGGUGGUGUGGUGGAAAGAUUAGUUUCGGUAAGGGAUGAGCUCGCGGCCUAUCAGCUUGUUGGUGGGGUAAUGGCCUACCAAGGCGUCGACGGGUAGCCGGCCUGAGAGGGUGGACGGCCACAUUGGGACUGAGAUGGGGCCCAGACUCCUGCGGGAGGCAGCAGUGGGGAAUAUUGCACAAUGGGCGCAAGCCUGAUGCAGCGACGCCGCGUGGGGGAUGACGGCCUUCGGGUUGUAAACUCCUUUCAGCCAUGACGAAGCCCUUGUGGUGACGGUAGUGGUAGAAGAAGCACCGGCUAACUACGUG
rnacentral:rRNA from 1 species